UAGUAACGGCGAGUGAAGCGGGAAGAGCUCAAAUUUGAAAUCUGGUGGCCUCAGGUCAUCCGAGUUGUAAUCUAUAGAAGUGUUUUCCGUGCUGGCUCAUGUACAAGUCCCUUGGAACAGGGCGUCAUAGAGGGUGAGAAUCCCGUCCUUGACAUGAACUACCAGUGCUCUGUGAUACAUUUUCAACGAGUCGAGUUGUUUGGGAAUGCAGCUCAAAAUGGGUGGUAAAUUCCAUCUAAAGCUAAAUAUUGGCGAGAGACCGAUAGCGAACAAGUACCGUGAGGGAAAGAUGAAAAGCACUUUGGAAAGAGAGUUAAACAGUAUGUGAAAUUGUUAAAAGGGAAACGAUUGAAGUCAGUCGUGCUCUUUGGAUUCAGCCGGUUCUGCCGGUGUACUUCCUUUGAGUGGGGUCAACAUCAGUUUUGAUCGCUGGAUAAAGGCUGGAGGAACGUAGCACCCCCGGGUGAACUUAUAGCCUCCUGUCACAUACAGUGGUUGGGACUGAGGAACGCAGCACGCCUUUAUGGCCAGGAUCCGUCCAUGUACGUGCUUAGGAUGUUGACAUAAUGGCUUUAAACGACCCGUCUUGAACCACGGACCCA
rnacentral:rRNA from 1 species